rnacentral:rRNA from 1 species
CCUACGGGAGGCAGCAGUGAGGAAUAUUGGUCAAUGGCCUCAGGGCUGAACCAGCCAAGUCGCGUGAGGGAUUACGGUCCUAUGGAUUGUAAACCUCUUUUGUCAGGGAGCAAAGGGCGCCACGUGUGGCGCUUUGCGAGUACCUGAAGAAAAAGCAUCGGCUAACUCCGUGCCAGCAGCCGCGGUAAUACGGAGGAUGCGAGCGUUAUCCGGAUUUAUUGGGUUUAAAGGGUGCGCAGGCGGAAUGUCAAGUCAGCGGUAAAAUUUCGGGGCUCAACCCCGUCGUGCCGUUGAAACUGGCGUUCUUGAGUGAGCGAGAAGUAUGCGGAAUGCGUGGUGUAGCGGUGAAAUGCAUAGAUAUCACGCAGAACUACGAUUGCGAAGGCAGCAUACCGGCGCUCAACUGACGCUCAUGCACGAAAGCGUGGGUAUCGAACAGGAUUAGAUACCCUUGUAGUC